UACGUAGGGGGCUAGCGUUGUCCGGAAUCAUUGGGCGUAAAGCGCGUGUAGGCGGUUCGGUAAGUCCGCUGUGAAAGUCGAGGGCUCAACCCUCGAAUGCCGGUGGAUACUGUCGGGCUAGAGUGCGGAAGAGGCGAGUGGAACUCCUGGUGUAGCGGUGAAAUGCGCAGAUAUCAGGAGGAACACCAAUUGCGAAGGCAGCUCGCUGGGACGUUACUGACGCUGAGACGCGAAAGCGUGGGGAGCAAACAGG
rnacentral:rRNA from 1 species